AUUGAACGCUGGCGGCAUGCUUUACACAUGCAAGUCGAGCGGCAGCGCGGGCUUGGGGCAACUUAAGUCUUGGCGGCGAGCGGCGAACGGGUGAGUAAUGCAUCGGAACGUACCGACAAGUGGGGGAUAGCUCGGCGAAAGCCGGAUUAAUACCGCAUAUGCUGUGCGCAGGAAAGCUGGGGCUCUGUAACAGGACCUGGUGCUUGUCGAGCGGCCGAUGUCCGAUUAGCUAGUUGGUGGGGUAAAGGCCUACCAAGGCGACGAUCGGUAGCUGGUCUGAGAGGAUGAUCAGCCACACUGGGACUGAGACACGGCCCAGACUCCUACGGGAGGCAGCAGUGGGGAAGUUUUGGACAAUGGGGCAACCCUGAUCCAGCCAUGCCGCGUGAGUGAAGAAGGCCUCGG
rnacentral:rRNA from 1 species